GACGAACGCUGGCGGCGUGCUUAACACAUGCAAGUCGAACGGUGAAGCUCCAGUUUGCUGGAGUGGAUCAGUGGCGAACGGGUGAGUAACACGUGAGCAACCUGCCCCUGACUCUGGAAUAAGCGCUGGAAACGGCGUCUAAUACUGGAUACGAGAAGGGUCCGCAUGGGCACUUUCUGGAAAGUUUUUCGGUUGGGGAUGGGCUCGCGGCCUAUCAGCUUGUUGGUGAGGUAAUGGCUCACCAAGGCGAAGACGGGUAGCCGGCCUGAGAGGGCGACCGGCCACACUGGGACUGGGACACGGCCCAGACUCCUACGGGAGGCAGCAGUGGGGAAUAUUGCACAAUGGGCGAAAGCCUGAUGCAGCGACGCCGCGUGAGGGAGGACGGCCUUCGGGUUGUAAACCUCUUUCAGCAGGGAAGAAGCGAAAGUGACGGUACCUGCAGAAGAAGCACCGGCUAACUACGUG
rnacentral:rRNA from 1 species